rnacentral:rRNA from 1 species
CCUACGGGGGGCAGCAGUGGGGAAUAUUGCACAAUGGGGGAAACCCUGAUGCAGCGACGCCGCGUGAGUGAAGAAGUAUUUCGGGAUGUAAAGCUCUAUCAGCAGGGAAGAAAAUGACGGUACCUGACUAAGAAGCCCCUGCUAACUACGUGCCAGCAGCCGCGGGAAUACGUAGGGGGCAAGCGGUAUCCGGUAUUACUGGGUGUAAAGGGAGCGUAGACGGCAGAGCAAGUCAGAAGUGAAAUCCCAUGGCUUAACCAUGGAACUGCUUUGGAAACUGUGCAGCUGGAGUGCAGGAGAGGUAAGCGGAAUUCCUAGUGUAGCGGUGAAAUGCGUAGAUAUUAGGAGGAACACCAGUGGCGAAGGCGGCUUACUGGACUGUAACUGACGUUGAGGCUCGAAAGCGUGGGGAGCAAACAGGAUUAGAUACCCGUGUAGUC